rnacentral:rRNA from 1 species
AUGACAUAUGAGCAGUAUAGGUGCUGGAUACUGAAUAAUGCCCCAUCAGUGGGUACAGGACCUGUGGUUGAUCUCUUGGCUGGUUCAGCUGCUGGCGGAACUGCAGUUCUGUGCACCUACCCUUUAGACUUGGCUAGGACCAAGCUGGCAUACCAGGUUUCAAAUGUAGCCCAACCUGUCAAUUCAUUGGGAAAUUUUGGCCGCCAACCAGUAUAUAAUGGUGUAAAGGAUGUUUUUAAAACUGUUUACAAGGAAGGAGGUGUACGAUCUUUGUACCGUGGGAUAGGCCCAACCCUGAUCGGUAUUCUUCCGUACGCUGGCCUGAAAUUUUACAUAUACGAGGACCUGAAAUCUCGUGUUCCAGAAGAUUACAAGAGAUCUGUUAUAUUGAAGCUCUCUUGUGGGGCUUUGGCUGGUCUUUUUGGACAAACCCUCACUUACCCACUGGAUGUUGUCCGAAGGCAAAUGCAGGUUCAGAACAAGCAGCCCCAGAAUGCAAAUGAUGCCUUCCGCAUAAGAGGAACAUUUCAGGGUCUCUUUCUUAUCAUUCGGUGCCAGGGGUGGAGACAACUGUUCGCUGGCUUGAGCCUUAAUUAUGUCAAGGUUGUCCCUUCAGUUGCUAUUGGUUUCACGACAUAUGACAUGAUGAAAAAUUUGCUGGGAGUACCUCCACGCGAGAAAGCUCAUCCAUUGACUGGUAACAACAACAAAUGA